AUUGAACGCUGGCGGCAUGCUUUACACAUGCAAGUCGAACGGUAACAGGCCGCAAGGUGCUGACGAGUGGCGAACGGGUGAGUAAUGCAUCGGAACGUGCCCAGUCGUGGGGGAUAACUACUCGAAAGAGUAGCUGAUACCGCAUACGAUCUAUGGAUGAAAGCGGGGGACCGUAAGGCCUCGCGCGAUUGGAGCGGCCGAUGUCAGAUUAGGUAGUUGGUGGGGUAAAGGCUCACCAAGCCAACGAUCUGUAGCUGGUCUGAGAGGACGACCAGCCACACUGGGACUGAGACACGGCCCAGACUCCUACGGGAGGCAGCAGUGGGGAAUUUUGGACAAUGGGCGCAAGCCUGAUCCAGCAAUGCCGCGUGCAGGAAGAAGGCCUUCGGGUUGUAAACUGCUUUUGUACGGAACGAAACGGCUCUGGUUAAUACCCGGGGCUAAUGACGGUACCGUAAGAAUAAGCACCGGCUAACUACGUG
rnacentral:rRNA from 1 species